CGGUUUGGGGGCAUCUUUUUAUUUUUAAAAGACCUUUUUCGGAAGGUAUGCUUAAAGAGGGGCUUGCGUCACAUUAGUUAGUUGGCAGGGUAAAGGCCUACCAAGACUAUGAUGUGUAGCUGGACUGAGAGGUUGAACAGCCACAUUGGGACUGAGACACGGCCCAAACUCCUACGGGAGGCAGCAGUAGGGAAUUUUCGGCAAUGGAGGAAACUCUGACCGAGCAACGCCGCGUGAACGAUGAAGUAUUUCGGUAUGUAAAGUUCUUUUAUUGAAGAAGAAAAAAUAGUGGAAAAACUAUCUUGACGAUAUUCAAUGAAUAAGCCCCGGCAAACUAUGUGCCAGCAGCCGCGGUAAUACAUAGGGGGCGAGCGUUAUCCGGAAUUAUUGGGCGUAAAGGGUGCGUAGGCGGUUUAAUAAGUCUAUAGUUUAAUUUCAGUGCUUAACACUGUCCUGCUAUAGAAACUAUUAGACUAGAGUGAGAUAGAGGCAAGUGGAAUUCCAUGUGUAGCGGUAAAAUGCGUAAAUAUAUGGAGGAACACCAGAGGCGUAGGCGGCUUGCUGGGUCUUUACUGACGCUGAGGCACGAAAGCGUGGGGAGCAAACAGGAUUAGAUACCCUGGUAGUCCACGCCGUAAACGAUGAGUACUAAGUGUCGGGAUUACUCGGUACUGAAGUUAACACAUUAAGUACUCCGCCUGAGUAGUACGUACGCAAGUAUGAAACUUAAAGGAAUUGACGGGACUCCGCACAAGCGGUGGAUCAUGUUGUUUAAUUUGAAGAUACACGAAAAACCUUACCAGGUCUUGACAUACUCUGCAAAGCUAUAGCAAUAUAGUGGAGGUUAUCAGGGAUACAGGUGGUGCAUGGUUGUCGUCAGCUCGUGUCGUGAGAUGUUAGGUUAAGUCCUAAAACGAGCGCAACCCUUGUCAUUAGUUGCCAGCAUGUCAUGAUGGGCACUUUAAUGAGACUGCCAAUGAAAAAUUGGAGGAAGGUGAGGAUCACGUCAAAUCAUCAUGCCCCUUAUGAUCUGGGCUACAAACGUGAUACAAUGGCUGUUACAAAGAGUAGCUGAAACGCAAGUUUAUAGCCAAUCUCAUAAAAGCAGUCUCAGUUCGGAUUGAAGUCUGCAACUCGACUUCAUGAAGUUGGAAUCGCUAGUAAUCGCGAAUCAGCAUGUCGCGGUGAAUACGCUCUUU
rnacentral:rRNA from 1 species